AUUGAACGCUGGCGGCAGGCCUGACACAUGCAAGUCGAACGAGUGGCGGACGGGUGAGUAAUGUCUGGGAAACUGACUGAUGGAGGGGGAUAACUACUGGAAACGGUAGCUAAUACCGCUUACCAUCGGAUGUGCCCAGAUGGGAUUAGCUAGUGGGUGGGGUAAAGGAUCACCUAGGCGACGAUCCCUAGCUGGUCUGAGAGGGUGAACAGCCACACUGGAACUGAGACACGGUCCAGACUCCUACGGGAGGCAGCAGUUGGGAAUAUUGCACAAUGGGCGAAAGCCUGACGCAGCAAUGCCGCGGGUGUGAAGAAGGCCUUCGGGUUGUAAAGCACUGUCGGUAGAGAGGCGGUAUCCGCAGAAGAAGCACCGGCUAACUCCGUGCCAGCAGCCGCGGUAAUUC
rnacentral:rRNA from 1 species